rnacentral:rRNA from 1 species
GACGAACGCUGGCGGCGUGCUUAACACAUGCAAGUCGUACGGUAAGGCCCUUUCGGGGGUACACGAGUGGCGAACGAGUGAGUAACACGUGAGUAACCUGCCCACAACUUUGGGAUAACGCUAGGAAACUGGUGCUAAUACUGGAUAUGUUCUCCUGCUGCAUGGUGGGGGUUGGAAAGCUCCGGCGGUUGUGGAUGGACUCGCGGCCUAUCAGCUUGUUGGUGGGGUAGUGGCCUACCAAGGCGGCGACGGGUAGCCGGCCUGAGAGGGUGACCGGCCACAUUGGGACUGAGAUACGGCCCAGACUCCUACGGGAGGCAGCAGUGGGGAAUAUUGCACAAUGGGCGCAAGCCUGAUGCAGCAACGCCGCGUGCGGGAUGACGGCCUUCGGGUUGUAAACCGCUUUCAGCAGGGACGAAGCUUUUUGUGACGGUACCUGCAGAAGAAGCACCGGCUAACUACGUG